CAAAAACCGUUGAGUAAGAGGAGUAAUCGCACAGGAAACUUUCAGAGAGCCGCGUAUCGGUGAAAGCGCGGCAGCGGAACGUGCGGUGAAUGGACUUACGAGGGCGGGGAGAAAGCCUUAUCCGGCGAGUAAUACCCGACGGCAGCCGCGGCCGUUAUCCCGGCGGAACGCAUGACAGUGCGCGCAAAGUGGGCGUUUUUACGCCAAUGUGGGUGGUACCGCAGGCUUGUAUUUUCAGUCUGUCCCAUGG
rnacentral:ncRNA from 1 species